ACUCACUUCAUCAGCACUGGCACUAGCUUUAGAAAGAUUAAUAAAAAUGAGCAUUAAGCGCCUUAGCAGAUGCUGCAAUCACGCAAAAAUAAUGCAGCACAAGACGCAGCUCACACACGUGGGGUUCUCCGAACCGGAGCCUCCCGCACGCCGCGAACAGCAACAGGAAUAGGAAGUUGAGCCGCGCUGGGGGAAGUUCUUCCACCUUCGCCCCGGAGGCGCCAACGCCGGCUUUGCCCGCCGCCCUCGGGCUCCGGAUCCCACCCCGAGGGACCCGCGGCCGCUCCGGGAAGGGACGCGCCCGGUCGGGGACAGCGAAGGCAGCGACGGGCAGCCCCAGGCCCGGCGCCGGGAGGCCGGGGACUGCCCUCAAGUGAUUCUCAGUAGUGACACUCUCCAUGGAUUUUGGAAAGUGGUCCCUUAUCUACUUACUGGUUUCAAGACUGGGAUCUCCUGGAUGGAACAGGAUGCUGUUGAAUCAUGUUCAGCUGGUGACUGUCUAUAACCCCAGGAGAACUCUUCUGCACAACUGCUACCGCAGCAGCCUGUUCUGUCCCAUCCUGUAUUUGUUCAGCUGAUCGCAGCUUCUGCUGAAGUGUACAGACACGCAUUUGUCAAAUCCAUUGCUGGACUUAGUGCAUCACAUGCUAAUUCUUUUGAAUUUGUCAAGUUUACUCUGAAUUGUAUUUGUCUUCUGCUCAGUCAGUAGCUAGCUCAAGUCUGGUGCUCCCUACAAUUUAAUCAGCAUAUGCCAUCCAAGUUGUUAAUGGAAAUACCAAGUAAUCUCAAAUCAGAGCGGAACUGCAGAGAAUCCCCCUCAAUAUAUCCCUGCAGUGUGAAUUCUUAAUAAUUACUCUGAGUAGGGUUUUCCAAACAGUUUUUAUAACCUCACUUUUAAAUUGGUGUCAGUCCACAUUUCCCUGCUAUCUCAUGUGAAGUCAUUAGAGUCACUUGAAAUAAAGCUGCACUCACUGCUUCUCCUCUACUCAAGGAGCUUGUUAACUUGGUGCAGAUUAACAAAAUUUGAUCUUUCUUUUAGACACUCACUGGUAAGUUUCCCUUUUCCAUUAAUUUUCCAGUUUAAACUAUUAACCCUGAGUUCUGAGCAGGCAGGAGGAAGCAGAGACAAGAUGAGCCUUCAGAGGUUACAGCAAUCCCUUUGUCUCUAAUGCUGGGAAGUAAUUUACCACAUGGGGUGUCCGACUUAGGCACGAGGACAACUACAGUUGUUGUGCUUGUGCUGCAAUCCAUUACACAGGGCAGAGUAAGCAGAGCUUGUCUAAGUGAGGACCUGAGAACCCUCAAAGCAUUCACUGCUCUGCCCUGACAUCACACAACACAAGGACAAUGAAAGUCUUUUCCUCCUGUGCCUAUGGGUCCCUCCCUACUGCUAGAUUUCAGUAUCCGGCCAUUCCAGUGAGAAAUCACAUCCAUGAAACAGACAAGGCUAUCCCACAAUAUCCUGCACUUGUUUCAAAGAUCUCAGGUAACUGGAUUAAACCUCAAAAAAAAAAAAAAUCCAGCAAAUAAAGUAAACAUGCAUCCAGUAAUAAUUUCCAUGGCAUCAAAACCUGUGUGAUGAAACUACUCCCAACAUCGACUUUGGUAACAGAAGCCUUGAAUACCCUUUUCAGAAAACCUUUGCAAAGAUGGCUGUGGAUCAUCAGCACCAGUAAUUACUCUCUGGGAUUGUCCUGUGCAGGGCCAGGAGCUGGACUUGAUGAUCCUUGUGGGUCCCUUCCAACUCAAGAUAUUCUAUGAUUCUAUGACUUCAUCAAUAAAACCUGAUCAUUUGGCAACUCUUAA